UGGAGAGAACAAAGGAGACAGUGGACAUAAAUUCUAUUUUGAGCUCAAUUAACCUCCAUGGCUACACUAAAAGAAUCUUCUCCUCAAGAUUUUCACUGAAGUUAUGAAGACUGAUUAAAACAUUAAUUGGAGGAAUAAAUUUUCUUCAAUAUAAAACCAUUAACUGGCAAUUAACUUUGUAAACACAUCUUCUGCUAAUACUGAGGACAUACAAUCAUACAGAUCCAUUUAUGCAUACCUUCUGAAGCCAAUAUAUGGGAAUAACAAUAUUGACCACAAAAUGGAGAUAUACCGAAGGCUUCACAUUUUACCAUUUUAACUUUUAAUUUUAUAGAUAGGGGCAUACAAGCUACUGAGAGUAUUAUAAGACUGGUCCUACCAUCAUUCUUGGAGAGCUGCAAAGUCCUGGACACAGAUGAAAGCUACUCCGCCUAAGUAGC
rnacentral:lncRNA from 1 species